rnacentral:rRNA from 1 species
UCCCGUUGAUCCUGCGGGAGGUUGCUGCUAUUUGAGUUCGAUUAAGCCAUGCAAGUCAGGGAGUCUUGUACUACCGGCAGACCGCUCAGUAACACGUCAAUAACUUAACCUUAGGUUCAGGAUAACCUCGGGAAACUGAGGCUAAAACUGAAUAGGGGAUUAAUUCUGGAAUGAAUUUUCCUUGAAAACUUCGGUGCCAAAGGAUAGGAUGGCGGUUGAUUAGGUUGUUGGUGAGGUAAUGGCUCACCAAGCCGAAGAUCAGUAUGGGUCUUGAAAGAGAUAACCCAGAGAGGGACACUGAGAUACUGGUCCCAGCCCUACGGGGUGCAGCAGGCGCGAAACCUUUACAAUGCAGGAAACUGUGAUAGGGGAACUCAGAGUGCUUUACUUAGGUAAGGCUUUUGCUAAGAGCAAACAUCUUAGCGAAUAAGUGGUGGGUAAGACGGGUGCCAGCCGCCGCGGUAACACCUGCGCCACAAGUGGCAACCAUGAUUAUUGGGCCUAAAGCGUCCGUAGCCGGUUUUAUAAGUCUUUUGUGAAAUCGUUAAGCUUAACUUAACGGCGAGCAAGAGAUACUGUAAGACUAGGAACUGGGGGGAGUCAGAAGAAUUUUUGGGGGAGCGGUAAAAUGUUAUAAUCCCAGAAAGACUACCAGUGGCGAAAGCGUCUGACUAAUACAGGUUCGACGGUGAGGGACGAAAGCCAGGGGAGCAAUCCGGAUUAGAUACCCGAGUAGUCCUGGCUGUAAACUCUGCGAGCUAGGUGUUGCAUAUUCUUCGUGAAUAUGCAGUGUCGAAGCGAAGGUGUUAAGCUCGCCGCCUGGGAAGUAUGGUCGCAAGACUGAAACUUAAAGGAAUUGGCGGGGGAGCACUACAAGGGGUGCGGCGUGCGGUUUAAUCUAAUUCCACACAGAGAACCUCACCAGAAACGACGGCAGGAUGAAAGUCAGUUUAAAGGGCUUACUUGACGAGCCGAGAGGUAGUGCAUGGCCGCCGUCAGCUCAUGCCGUAAGGUGUCCUGUUAAGUCAGGCAACGAGCAAGACCUGUACCUAUAAUUGCUAACUGCUUUUAUAAGGAUUGAGCACAUUAUAGGAACUGCCUUGGAAACAAGGAGGAAGGUGCAGGCAACGGUAGGUCUGUAUGCUCCGAAUUUUCUGGGCUACACGCGCGCAACAAUGGUAAGGACAAUGGGAUGCAACUCCGAAAGGAGAAGCUAAUCCUCGAAACCUUACCUCAGUUCAGAUUGAGGAUUGCAAUUCAUCCUCAUGACGCUGGAAUCCCUAGUAAUCAGACGUCAUCAUCGUCCGGUGAAUAUGUCCCUGCUCCUUGCACACACCGCCCGUCAAACCACCUGAGUAGGGUUUAGAUGAGGUUUAAUUUUGAAUUAAUUCGAAUCUAAACUUUGCGAGGAGGGUUAAGUCGUCACAAGGUA